GUUACUAUAAGGUUGUUGUCCAAGACCAAACACGACAAAAUCACCGCAGUUGUUGGUCUUGCUGUUUUCAGCCAGUUUUGGUAUUGGUAUCCCCUUAUCUAUUUUAUCAGCUUGUCAUUCUCACCCACGGCAUUUAUUGGACUGAAUAAUGACCUAAAAGUUCCAAAAUUCGAUUUCCUGUCCCAUGCAAAACCUUCAUUAUUUGAGUAUCCUAAACCAACCACUGUGCCUGCUGCGACGUCUGCUGUAAAACUUCCAACUGCAGUUUUGUCAACUUCAGCAAAGGCGAAAGCUAGGGCUAAGAAAGAAGCUGAACAAAAGAACAUUGCUGAAAAGUCGUCUGCAGCUGAAUCUUCAUCCACAAGUUCUAAUCCUGCUAAAGGGAAGGCGUCCGCUGAGAAGGAUGGGGACUCCAUGCAGGUUGACAACCCACCUGAGAAGAAAGCAGAACCAGAGCCCUCUUUUGAAAUUCUGACCAACCCAGCUAGAGUGGUUCCUGCCCAGGAAAAGUUCAUCAAAUUUUUAGAGGAAAGCAGAUAUGUACCGGUGAAAUUGGCGCCUUCGGGUUUUG
rnacentral:misc_RNA from 1 species